GUGCUCACUUUGGCAGCACACACACUAAAAUUGGAACGAUACACAGAAGUAGCAUGGCCCCAGUGUGAGGAUGACAUGCAAAUUCAUGAAGCAUUCCAUAUUUUU
ensembl:snRNA U6 U6 spliceosomal RNA